UACGGGGGGUGCGAGCGUUGUCCGGAAUCACUGGGCGUAAAGCGCGCGUAGGCGGUUAUCUAAGUCGGAUGUGAAAGCCCUCGGCUUAACUGAGGAAGUGCACCCGAAACUGGAUAGCUAGAGUACGAAAGAGGGUCGCGGAAUUCCCGGUGUAGAGGUGAAAUUCGUAGAUAUCGGGAGGAACACCGGUGGCGAAGGCGGCGACCUGGGUCGAGACUGACACUGAGGCGCGAAAGCGUGGGGAGCAAACAGG
rnacentral:rRNA from 1 species